rnacentral:rRNA from 1 species
UACGGAGGGUGCGAGCGUUGUCCGGAAUCACUGGGCGUAAAGGGCGCGUAGGUGGCCUGUGGAAGUCUGCGGUGAAAGCCCGGCGCUCAACGCCGGGUCGGCCGUGGAUACUCUCGGGCUCGAGCUUACUAGAGGCAGAUGGAAUUCCGGGUGUAGCGGUGGAAUGCGUAGAGAUCCGGAAGAACACCGGUGGCGAAGGCGGCCACCUGGACGGGUACUGACGCUGAGACGCGAAAGCUAGGGGAGCGAACGGG